CAAUAGCGUAUAUUAAAGUUGUUGCAGUUAAAAAGCUCGUAGUUGGAUUUCUGAAUUGAAUAUCCGGUCCGCUCGUCUCUGAUGAGUGCGUACUUAUGGAUAUUGGAUUCAUUUUUUGUGAGGACAUUUAUCUGUCAUUAAGUUGAUGGAUUUAUAGACUUGCAUCGUUUACUGUGAAAAAAUUAGAGUGUUUAAAGCAGGCGUUCGCCCAUUUGAAUACAUUAGCAUGGAAUAAUAAGAUAUGACUUUGGUGGUCUAUUUUGUUGGUUUGCACACCAGAGUAAUGAUUAAUAGGGACAGUUGGGGGUAUUCAUAUUUCGACGUCAGAGGUGAAAUUCUUAGAUCGUUGAAAGAUGACCUUAGGCGAAAGCAUUUACCAUGGAUGUUUUCAUUA
rnacentral:rRNA from 1 species